UACUGAGGGUGCAAGCGUUAUCCGGAUUUCCUGGGUUUAAAGGUUGCGUAGGUGGAUUAGUAAGUCAGUGGUGAAAUCUCCGGGCUUAACCCGGAAACUGCCAUUGAUACUAUUAGUCUUGAAUAUCCUGGAGGUGAGCGGAAUAUGUCAUGUAGCGGUGAAAUGCUUAGAUAUGACAUAGAACACCAAUUGCGAAGGCAGCUCACGACGGGAUUAUUGACACUGAGGCACGAAAGCGUGGGGAUCAAACAGG
rnacentral:rRNA from 1 species